CCUGCCCAUGCACUAAAGCUUUCCUGGGAGAAGGAUAUCACCUUGUGCAGGAGUGCCAAAAUCGUGGUCAAGUUCUUCUCAUUUGGCAUCAACAGCAUUUUAUUUCAGCAUGGCAUAUAUCCAUCUGGAACAUUUACUCCAGUGUGGAAAUAUGGGCUCACCUUGCUUGUAACCACUAAUCUUGAGCUCAUGAAACACCUAAAUAACACGGUGGAACAACUAAAGCAUUGGCUAUACAAACGUUCAGGUCAGAAACUGAUUGGAGUCAUCUCAACAACUGAAAGUGAUGAGGUCCUUCAAAGAUGGCAGUUUGACCCUAAGUGUGAUAAGACUGCAAAAGAUCAUCUUGGGCCCAGAGAAUAGUCGCAGAAAACUAUCCAGGAUGAAAUCUGUUUAGUAAUCAGAUCACAGCUACAGUGACAUUUCUGCCACUGUUGGAAGUUGUUCUUUUGAUCUACUGAUUUAUAGAGAUUUGGUUGUACUUGAAAAAUGGGAAGAGGAAUGACCUUUUUCUUUUGAUCUACUGAUUUAUACAAAGAUUUGGUUGUACCUGAAAAAAUGGGAAGAGGAGUGACCAAUUCUGAGGAAGUCUGUCUUUCUGCAUUUACUACCUAGUCCACAAAGUAAAUAGCACGGUGGCUUACAAAGUUCCUGUCAAUGACU
rnacentral:lncRNA from 1 species